CCUACGGGAGGCAGCAGUGGGGAAUAUUGCACAAUGGGCGAAAGCCUGAAGCAGCAACGCCGCGUGAGCGAUGAAGGCCUUCUGGUCUUAAAGCUCUUUCCUCAAGGAAGAUAAUGACGGUACUUGAUGAGGAAGCCCCGGCUAACUACGUGACAGCAGCCGCGGUACUACGUAGGGGGCUAGCGUUAUCCGGAAUUACUGGGCGUAAAGGGGGCGUAGGUGGUUUCUUAGGUCAGAGGUGAAAGGCUACGGCUCAACCGUAGUAAGCCUUUGAAACUGGGGAACUUGAGUGCAGGAGAGGAGAGUGGAAUUCCUAGUGUAGCGGUGAAAUGCGUAGAUAUUAGGAGGAACACCAGUUGCGAAGGCGGCUUUCUGGACUGUAACUGACACUGAGGCACGAAAGCGUGGGGAGCAAACAGGAUUAGAUACCCUGGUAGUC
rnacentral:rRNA from 1 species